rnacentral:rRNA from 1 species
GACGAACGCUGGCGGCGUGCCUAAUACAUGCAAGUAGAACGCUGAAGAGAGGAGCUUGCUCUUCUUGGAUGAGUUGCGAACGGGUGAGUAACGCGUAGGUAACCUGCCUUGUAGCGGGGGAUAACUAUUGGAAACGAUAGCUAAUACCGCAUAACAAUGGAUGACACAUGUCAUUUAUUUGAAAGGGGCAAUUGCUCCACUACAAGAUGGACCUGCGUUGUAUUAGCUAGUAGGUGAGGUAACGGCUCACCUAGGCGACGAUACAUAGCCGACCUGAGAGGGUGAUCGGCCACACUGGGACUGAGACACGGCCCAGACUCCUACGGGAGGCAGCAGUAGGGAAUCUUCGGCAAUGGGGGCAACCCUGACCGAGCAACGCCGCGUGAGUGAAGAAGGUUUUCGGAUCGUAAAGCUCUGUUGUAAGUCAAGAACGAGUGUGAGAGUGGAAAGUUCACACUGUGACGGUAGCUUACCAGAAAGGGACGGCUAACUACGUGCCAGCAGCCGCGGUAAUACGUAGGUCCCGAGCGUUGUCCGGAUUUAUUGGGCGUAAAGCGAGCGCAGGCGGUUUGAUAAGUCUGAAGUUAAAGGCUGUGGCUCAACCAUAGUUUGCUUUGGAAACUGUCAAACUUGAGUGCAGAAGGGGAGAGUGGAAUUCCAUGUGUAGCGGUGAAAUGCGUAGAUAUAUGGAGGAACACCGGUGGCGAAAGCGGCUCUCUGGUCUGUAACUGACGCUGAGGCUCGAAAGCGUGGGGAGCGAACAGGGUUAGAUACCCUGGUAGUCCACGCCGUAAACGAUGAGUGCUAGGUGUUGGAUCCUUUCCGGGAUUCAGUGCCGCAGCUAACGCAUUAAGCACUCCGCCUGGGGAGUACGACCGCAAGGUUGAAACUCAAAGGAAUUGACGGGGGCCCGCACAAGCGGUGGAGCAUGUGGUUUAAUUCGAAGCAACGCGAAGAACCUUACCAGGUCUUGACAUCCCGAUGCUAUUUCUAGAGAUAGAAAGUUACUUCGGUACAUCGGUGACAGGUGGUGCAUGGUUGUCGUCAGCUCGUGUCGUGAGAUGUUGGGUUAAGUCCCGCAACGAGCGCAACCCCUAUUGUUAGUUGCCAUCAUUCAGUUGGGCACUCUAGCGAGACUGCCGGUAAUAAACCGGAGGAAGGUGGGGAUGACGUCAAAUCAUCAUGCCCCUUAUGACCUGGGCUACACACGUGCUACAAUGGUUGGUACAACGAGUUGCAAGUCGGUGACGGCAAGCUAAUCUCUUAAAGCCAAUCUCAGUUCGGAUUGUAGGCUGCAACUCGCCUACAUGAAGUCGGAAUCGCUAGUAAUCGCGGAUCAGCACGCCGCGGUGAAUACGUUCCCGGGCCU